AGGGAAAGCACCAUGAGAAGAUGACGGCAGAGAUCUGGGCGACGCGUCUACAAGCCAAGCGACACCAAAGGUGGCCAGCAGCCCAUGUGAAGCUGGAGGAGAGGCCUCGAAUAAAUGCUCCCUUACAGCGUUCAGGGGGAACUGACCCUGUCCACACCUUGACCUUGAACUUCUGGGCUCCAGAACUGUGAGACAGCAUGUUCUGUUGUUGAAGGUACCUGGUCUGGGGUGCGUGGUGCUUUGCAGCCAAAGUGAAUGAAUCUGGUGACACUGACCUGUGUACUGUAUGUCUUGUCUGCAGCUUGCUGGAGCAGCGUGGCUAGAGGAAUUCCUGCAGCUUAGAUUUCGCUGGCACUGUUACCACUCCCAGAGAGGAGCGGCUGGAGUUCACGGCUGGUUCCUGACAAACUUCCUAAUUAAUCUGCUAAAGAUCAGAGGAGGACUAAUAGGAGCUGAAGACUGUGUGCGAGACCACCCCUCCGCCCUCUCCCUUUGUGUGUGCACGUGUGUGUGUGUGUGUGUGUGAGCGCGUGCGCGCAUGUGGUGCUGAGCUUGGCGGGAGAGAGAUGGCCUCACCAGCGACAAAGCAUUCCUGCUGCUGUUGCUGCCACCUACCUUCCCUGCUUUGGGAGGAUACAUUUUCUCCUCUUGCUUAGAAGUUUCAGGGAGUCACCCAAGCCUUCUUCUCCCAGAUACAACGGUGGAAUAAAAUAUCUUCCAGCCAACAUAUUUUUUGGAGACGGAAUCUCACUCUGUCACCUGGUUGAAGUGCAGCAGCGCGAUCAUGGCUCACUGCAACCUCUGCCUCCCGGUUUCAAGUGAUUCUCCUGCCUCCGCCUCCCGAGUAGCUGGGAUUACAGGCAUGUGCCACCCACCACGCCUGGGUAAUUUUUGUAUUUUUACUAGAGACAGGGUUUCACUAUGUGGGCUGGGCUGGUCUCAAACUCCUGACCUCUGGUGAUCUGCCCACUUCGGCCUCUCAAAGUGCUGGGAUUACAGGCAUGAGCCCCCGCACCCGGUUGCAACCAACUUUUUUGUGGAAUAUAGGAUCUUGAUGUUUGGAUGCCUGAAGGCAGAAGCUGUUGCACAUGGAAUGGAUUAAAGUUUUCCCCUCUGCAACCAAAAAUCCUUGGGGUCCCAGGAGCAAAAGAUGCUCCAUGGCACAGGACAAUUCAAGAAGGCCCGAGGUGAUAUUGAAGACUGCAGAGACAUCCAGCUCAGUUGUGUCUCCGGAGGUGUCCAGACUUUGCAGACAGACGUUGCACAUAAAGAGCUGAAAAACUGAGGAAGCUGAGCUGGAGAAGGAAGUCACUUCUACUCAGACUUGACCUGCGUCUGAUGCUAUGGGGCCUCUUAGGGUUACCUCAUGCUUCAUGCACCCCUUUCUCUGUUCUUCAGCAGAAGGCAGGGUGUAGGGAAGCGGGACUGUGCCUCCUUUCUCCCUGCCAGGCCUGACUCUCCAGGCCAAGAGACACCAUUAAGGAGUAUAAUUUGUUGAUCCAGGCUCUCCUUGCGUUUCAGUGCAGAGUGGCAUCGUUUUCUUUAUGACCUCGUAAAGUCACAGCCGAGAGGCCGAUUUGGAAAACAAACUGCCUCAGGUUGACAGAUAAUUAGAUACAGGGGACAUAUUAUAUGCCUUUGCAUAUAAAUGUGCUCCGAGGCGUGUUGGUUCAUCUGAAGUUGAGGUUAAAGGCGCGCCAGGUAUUCCUGACACAUCAGGAUAUAUAUUUUCAUACAGUCUCAGAAGAGGACGCCUCCACCCACAGGAAGGAGCCAGCACGGUGGGGAGCUGUUUCACCAGGGGAGUGUUCUCAGCAGCUGCCACACGUGGAGUUGUGGAGGUAGCAAGCAGAGUUGGGGGAGGAGGGGGAGCCCUGGUUCCUGCUCUUCCAUGAUCAGUGUGCAGCCUUGAGCAUGGCACUCCCUCUCUUCCCAGCUUAGUGUCCUCAUCCGUAAAAUGAGGGGCUCUCUGAGAGUCUGCCAGGGCCGCUGUCUGAUCUGUGACAGCGUGGCAUGUGGUGUGGUAUGUAAUGCACGUUCCUGCCUGCAGGGAGGCCCUCUCCCUUCCCCCACCAGGCUUCUGGGCAGCACUUGCUGUCAUCCUUGCUUCUGGAACAGGACUGUGCUGUUUUCCAGGCCAAAUUGGAGGGCUGAGGGGGUCUAUUAAGAAGACUCUGGGGAGAUGGUGGAACAAUUCUGUGCUUGAAAUUACCUUCCUCUUUAAAUCUUGCCAUGGCCCUAUUAGAAAAGCUAAGGGGGCAGGAGGAGAGGAGCGGGCAGGGAGAGGAGAGAGAGAGAGAAGAAGGAAGAAGGAAAGGGAAAGGUAAGAAACCCCAUAGCCCGACCCUCAGCCCUGUUGAAGGAGAUUAUAUAAAUAGAGUCGCUGUCACUUUGAUGAAUUAAAUCCUCCGUUAAUUAGGACGCAUCCAUUUAAGGGUUGUCCAGCCAGAUAGUCCUUUUCCCUUCCCAGCAAGUCAUAGCUCAGGGAGGAGGCAUGAGAGGGAUCGUUUUCUGUUUCUGGCUUGAUUGCUGGUUUCUUUCUUACUAGGCUUCAUUAAUUAUCCUGGAAUGUGGUCACCCAGUUUUCUUCAACAUGGGCCAUUCUCCUUUUAGCAGGAUCUUGGCAGUGGACUGCCACGGGAGCUCUGGGGAAAAAGGACCAGUUGGACUCCAGUACCUCCUGAGAGACCACCACCCUCCAUGCCUCCAGCUCAUGCCCAGCUCUGAGUCAGACGGACUCUUCCUGUUGUACUGCGAGGUUCUGCAAACCUUGAAGGGCAAACACAGUGAGGGUCUCUGACUUGCUGUGUGGACAGCCCACUCUCUGACAGCCCAGAUCAUCUGAAGCUAUCCCUGGGCUGGGAGCUGGAAGCCAUUCUUGUGAACCACUCCUUAUACCUUGAGCGAAGCCUCUUUGGGUCCCAGAAGUCUGAAGCUCCAGCUGCCUGGCAAGACUGAGUCUAGAUGAUUUCUUGGGUACCAGUAGUUUGGCAUUUAAAAAUACUGGAUUAACUGCAGUGUAAACUUAGAUUGCAUUUCAGAUUGUAAACAAUAACCCCCGUGCUUCAUGUGAUGUUAAAUCAGAAAUGAGCUAUUAGCCAAGCUAGUCCUCUUAUGAAUGAGCCCCUAACCCUGAUCCAGGGAUCGUUGAAUGAAAAUCAUCAAAAUGAUUUAUCUUCACUUUACCUAUUGUCUCACAAGAAUCUCAUCACUCAGGGAAAAGGAGGGUGUUCUUCAGGGAACGGAGGGCAUGAGGAAGGGGGAUUUCCUUAUAUCUCAACUUUCAGAGGGAGCUGAGUUGUAAACAGAUGGAACAAGGUGUGUACGAGAAGCCUCUUAGAUUUAGUCUUUCAUAUCAAGGCUCUUGCUGAAAAUCCUGGCACAGCUGUGAAAUGAGGGGAGCUCUGACACACAGAGACACGCUCCUUGCCUCACCAACCUUCCCAUACACAGUCAUGCGCACAGAGAGCAGGUACCAAUACUGAAAAUGCCCUUCCGGAGUUUCCUCAGCUUAAACCCUUGACAGCAUUAAGUGAGGAAGGAGUUUCCUUGACCUGGGGAAGAAGAACCAACUCAUAAACAUGGAACUGUGCCCACUGCCUUUUCCUUUGCUCUGUGGAUUGGCUGUGGUUCUGCCCUGGCACUCGGAUGUCAAGUUGCUCUGGCUGUUUGGGAGGAAGCCCAGCCUGGGUCAGGUGGUCAUAAGCCAGAGGCCCUGUCCUGUCCCCAGGGUUGGCCUCCCUCUGGGGUCCAGCAUGGCCCCAGUGCUGAGGCUCCCACUGCUGGGGAAUGUGCCCUCUCCUCUCUUUGUUUCCAUACCAAGGGGAUCUGCAGGGUAGAGGGCAAAUUAUUCUUAGCAGAUUGGGGCUAUGGGUAAACCAGAAGGGAUGAGGGAGAGAGGAGAGAGGAGAGGAAAGGGAAGGAGAGGGGAGGGCAGGGGAUAGGUAGAGGAGAGAGACAGCAAGAAAAAAUAGAAAAAAAAAAAAAGGAAAUAAAGGUUGCAUAUACAAAGGGAGAUUAACAAGGAGUAGAAGAAGGGAGGCAGAAGAGGGAGAAACAGAGAAGAGGAACAAAGAAGACAUUUCCAAAAAAGACGUGAGCACACCAGGCAGGAGGGAGAAAAGGAACAAGGAGAAAGGAAGGAAGUGAGACAAGCUGGGGAGAGAAGAGGCAAAGGCAGCCAGGAGCAGGCAUAGGGGAGAGAGGAGUGGGAAGCCCCAGGGGGUACAAGGAAAAAAAUGAGGGAAGCCAGUGGGAGGAAGGUGAGGAAGAGGAGAGGGAACAGGCACUGGGUGGGGAAGAGGCGAGCAGGAGAAAGCCUGUGCUGUGUGGAUUAUUGUGUGUUUGUCAUCUGGAAUGGUAUAAGCUGUAGGUACAGCAGCUCCCGCCCAUGAUUUAUGGUCCCUGUCAGGCAGGGACCGCGCUUUGUCUGCUGUAGCGUGGACGAUGAAUGCUCCGCUGUCAUCCCAGCCUGGCCGGCCUUUCUCUCUCUCUGCUCCCAACGCUGGCUCCCCAUUUCACGCCAGUGAACAUAAGCAAUCUUUUGUAAACCUGACAGUCACACUUGCUUCUUUGGAAACAUAAAGCAGAAAUGUAUGACUCGGCUUUCAUUACCCAAUUUCCUACGCUAUAUAAAAACACUCAGGAAAGACAUGUAAGUGGUCACGAAACCUGGGAAAUUGGAAGUGUCCUGGAGGAAAAAAAAAGGAAGAGUGGGGAGAAGGGGGCUGUAGGGUGGGAGGGAGCCGGUGAGGAGAGGAGACGAUGUGUCUAACUCCACCACAUCCUUCCCAGAAAACGCCGGCUGAUAAACGGGCCAUGCAGACACAUAAUUAUAUUACAUAUCUGAAUAAUAGACAUUUCCUGCCUGAAGUGUUGCUUUUUUUCCUCCUUCUCCUUUUAAC
rnacentral:lncRNA from 1 species